CCUACGGGAGGCUGCAGUGGGGAAUAUUGCACAAUGGGCGCAAGCCUGAUCCAGCCAUGCCGCGUGUGUGAAGAAGGCCUUCGGGUUGUAAAGCACUUUCAGCGGGGAGGAAGGCGUUAAGGUUAAUAACCUUGGCGAUUGACGUUACCCGCAGAAGAAGCACCGGCUAACUCCGUGCCAGCAGCCGCGGUAAUACGGAGGGUGCAAGCGUUAAUCGGAAUUACUGGGCGUAAAGCGCACGCAGGCGGUCUGUCAAGUCGGAUGUGAAAUCCCCGGGCUCAACCUGGGAACUGCAUUCGAAACUGGCAGGCUAGAGUCUUGUAGAGGGGGGUAGAAUUCCAGGUGUAGCGGUGAAAUGCGUAGAGAUCUGGAGGAAUACCGGUGGCGAAGGCGGCCCCCUGGACAAAGACUGACGCUCAGGUGCGAAAGCGUGGGGAGCAAACAGGAUUAGAUACCCCGGUAGUC
rnacentral:rRNA from 1 species